rnacentral:tRNA from 1 species
CGCUUUAGCUCAGUUGGUAGAGCAGCUCAUUCGUAAUGAGCAGGUCGCGGGUUCGAGUCCCGUUCGCG